UUCGCAAUGCCCGAAAGGGUGACGAAGCGACGCCGCGUGUGGGAAGAAGGCCUUCGGGUCGUAAACCACUGUCGGGAGUUAAGAAAUGCAAGGAUAUUAAUAGUGUCUUUGUUUGACUAAGGCUCCGGAGGAAGCCACGGCUAACUCUGUGCCAGCAGCCGCGGUAAUACAGAGGCGGCAAGCGUUGUUCGGAAUUAUUGGGCGUAAAGAGCACGUAGGCGGCUAUGUAAGUCGGUUGUGAAAGCCUUCCGCUCAACGGAAGAACAGCAUCCGAUACUACAUGGCUUGAGUGCGGGAGGGGAGAGUGGAACUUCUGGUGGAGCGGUGAAAUGCGUAGAUAUCAGAAGGAACGCCGGCGGCGAAAGCGGCUCUCUGGCCCAUAACUGACGCUGAGUGUGCGAAAGCUAGGGGAGCAAACGGGAUUAGAUACUCCGGUAGUCCUAGCCGUAAACGAUGGGCACUAAGUAGAGGGGUUUU
rnacentral:rRNA from 1 species